GCAUCUUUUAAUGAAAGAGCAGUUUGAGCAACAUACUUCAGAAAUGGGGUCCUGUUCAUCCUUUGCUUUACAAAUCGAUCUCCUUGGUUCCUUAAGUGAGGUCCAAUUGGUUGACAUUGUGGUUUGUCUUUGUGUGUAAACUUGCAGCUUCAGAAAAGAGAAGAUGAGCUACAAAGACAGCAACAGGAAACACUCUGCAACAGAGCAAGGAUGAUCUUCUUACUGAGUUACAAUGAGUGACUACUAGUCUGUCAAAAAUAAUUCUAGCAAGUGAUUCACGUAAGCAUGUGGAUAUCUGUGGCUGUUUAUCAAUUUAAUCCAAGGAAGUCUACUGCAGAUGCAUCUGGAAGACUGAAAGACGAUUGUUCAAGAGCACAAGCAGCCUUCAGUGGACAAUCAGAGUGUGCCUACAGCUGGAGAAGCUCACUGGCGUGACGCCUUUGUUGCUCAUAAAUCUGAUUUCACAGAACUUGAAAGGAAGUUGGAUGAUACCAAAAAGGAACUGGAGGAGGUGCAUGCUGAUCUUGUCAUGGUCAUGCAGGAACUUGAUUUGGCAAGAGCUGAGGUAUAACUAUGUGUUCGGACAUCAUCUGAAUGAAUGCUCCAGUACCAGUUUUGUUUUCUUUUGUGGUAGUGGUUAGUGAAUGAUUCUUGUAUAUGUAUAGAUAUAGAUAUUUAAUAAAGAAGGACAUUUUAUUCUGAAUUUUCA
rnacentral:lncRNA from 1 species